rnacentral:rRNA from 1 species
UAAGGAAUAUUGCUCAAUGGGAGAAAUCCUGAAGCAGCAACGCCGCGUGGAGGAUGAAGGGUCUAUGACUUGUAAACUCCUGUAAGAAGGAAAAAAUUCCCAUUAGAUGGGAGAUGAUGGUACUUCUGGAGUAAGCCCCGGCUAACUACGUGCCAGCAGCCGCGGUAAUACGUAGGGGGCAAGCGUUGUCCGGAUUUACUGGGUGUAAAGGGUGCUCAGGCGGAUUUGUAAGUCAGAGGUGAAAUCUUACAGCUUAACUGUGAAACUGCCUUUGAUACUGCAAGCCUAGAGUAUGGAAGAGNGUGAUGGAAUAUCUGGUGUAGCAGUAAAAUGCGUAGAUAUCAGAUAGAACACCAAUGGCGAAGGCAGUCACUUGGUCCAUUACUGACGCUAAAGCACGAAAGCGUGGGUAGCAAACA